rnacentral:rRNA from 1 species
GGGUGAGUAACACGUGGAUAACCUACCUAUAAGACUGGGAUAACUUCGGGAAACUGGAGCUAAUACCGGAUAAUAUAUUGAACCGCAUGGUUCAAUAGUGAAAGACGGUUUUGCUGUCACUUAUAGAUGGAUCCGCGCCGCAUUAGCUAGUUGGUAAGGUAACGGCUUACCAAGGCAACGAUGCGUAGCCGACCUGAGAGGGUGAUCGGCCACACUGGAACUGAGACACGGUCCAG